GUUCUUCCUUAGAAAGUUGGUAGCUCGCCUUCGCGCGGCGCUUUCAUCAACUUCUUGGGGAGGCACAAGUCAUUAUCCCUUUCUGUGUUCAGCUUCUGCUUAUUAUCCUGCGUCAACGACAGCUCAUCAUCAUGCGCUCGAUUAUGCCAGGACCCUGAUCCCAGCGCGGACAGCUUCAGGCUCCCUUUACGCUUACCAAACACAGUCCCAGGACUACUCGGCUCACGAGCGAUAGAAGAAACCAACCCAAGCCACAUAACUUUUGGAUAUUCGCCGUUUGCGUAAAAUAUUCAUGUGCAUUGCUAAGUGGCCCGCGAAAGACUCUCCAUUUCCAGCCAAUGGACUUCAAUUGGUAACCCGACACGAGCAGCGAGGUCCCACCCGGCCUCCACCCCUUCGGUCAUAUAACAAAGAUCGCUGCGUUGAUAAACUUGAACGCCCCGGGGGCACGGCCACAUGGACGCACUGCAGCACACAACGGCAAGAAUAAUAAUAAUAAUAACAAUAAUAACAACAACAAUAGAGAAACGCACGUGUUAACAAGGAUGCGAUAAAAAAAAUAAAACGUUGUGAGGAAAUAAACGCUAGAAUGACAGGAAAUA